AUUCCGGUAGUAAAUGGUUCCUAGGCCAGAUGUAAUUUGAGAAUGCAUUUUUUAGCAAUGCAAGGAUAGUUUUUCAUCAAUUUUUACCCUGAUAUCAUGUGUGAAUGUCUUUCUGUAUCAUCAUCAAUUAAAAUCCAAGAUUGUGCUUGCUCAGGACCUUCUGAGUGGAUGCAUUUGGAUAAAACCUCAAGGUUUUAUCCCUUAGUGAACUAUUAAAAGUUCAUGAGAUCUUGAUGGUCUGAAUUUCAAAGGAAGUCUGUAAUGGCUCAGAUGGAUGCUUCUUAAAGUGCCAUUUAGCAUCCAAGCAAAUUCUGUACCCACCUCUCUUUUUAUGCUUUCCAUGCUGGACAUUAAGUUCAUAUGUUUCCUUCAGAAAGAUCCCCUAAGUUUCUGUUUGCUUUUUUAGAUACAAUUUUUUUCUGAAAUUCAGGCCACAUCUUUCUUACUUGCUUCAGAAACAUCCCAGAAAGUAGAAUGCCUUGUGGAGAAGUCAAGGAUCUUAUCACACUGAGCAUCAGUCAGUGGUGCAGCCCAUGAGGCAUGUUGAUAUCCAGCACUGUGCCCAUGCUGCUGAGCUGUGAGCUGAGCAGGUCUGGGGUAGCUGUCAGUUUGGGUAUUCGGCAGCCUAAGCCCUACCAUUUUUUAGUGGGACUUGGUAUCUUAGAGAAUUUUGUCAAUUUCCAAAGUAGAAUUUAGGCACUUUUGUAACUUUUACUGUAAGUAUAGUCCAGCAAAAAGUUUGUGAUUGGCCCCAGGUGUUAAUUAAGUGCUUGUGCAAAGUCUCGUUAAAUAUGUGGCACAUGAUGCUUGGUCGAUGUGGUGUGAUCAUGUGCUGGUAAUGGUGAGGGCUUUGGUGUUGAUAAAGAUGGUUGCAGGUUUGAGUCCACUCUCUCACUGAUUUUCCAUACGCACAGCCAGAUACGCCAGGCAGUGUGAGCUUGGGCAGCCCAGCAAACCCAGCUCUGCCCAGGGCUGUGAUCCAGAGAAGGCACAUGACACUUGACCAGUAAAUACCCCAUGAGAUGCACCAGCUGAUUCAAGCAUGGAAGAGGCAACACAGAUGUGCUGUGGAGGUUGGGAGGGCAGCAAUGACAUCCUGUGUCUUUUCUGUGAGACUUUUGACUGUCAGAAAACCUGCAAUUCAUAAAAAUGUGUAUUUGCUACUACUUUUGCAAGUACUAUUAUGUUUGAGAUGUUCCAGUGUUAUUAGAUUAAGGAAGAAAGGUUUCUAAUUCAAGGACAAAUGUGAGACUUGCUUCAGCAUCUAUUCUGUUGCCUCAUAGGUGGAAGAUUAGAUUGAGUCACAUGUCCGGAGAAGAGAACCUGCCUCUCCCAGGUCUGCUGCAGGCACUGUAGCUGGGAGGCAGGCAUGGAUGGUUGCUUUCUCUUUCCAGUCUUUGGCCUGGACAUUGGCCUGAGAACUUGGGGUAUUCAUCAGCUGUUAGCACAGCUCUGGUGUAAUUAGUCCUCAAGUUGCUGGAGCUGUAGAUAAUACAGGGAGAAAGUUAAACUGGCAAUUCUUGGGAAAGAGAAAAGGAAAUUGUAGUCCAGUAUGAAACAAACUUUGUACAGCACAGUAUUCCCUUUCUUUCAAAAUCAAAUGUAAUCCCCCUAGAAAGAAGUAGCGAUGGAGUUUCUGGGCUUUUAAUUACUGUUUGAUGUUGCAACAUUAGUCAAAAGAGUGGCAGUACUGCAGAGAAGGUAAUUGUUCCCAUUGGGGGAGGGGGGGAAGUGUCUUUUUUUGGUAUGUAUAUUUUUAGGUGACCCAACAAAUAAGAGUGUCCAUGCCUGCUGAAGAAAAUUCAUAUUAAGUGUUUCUGAACAGGUGGGGGAAUAAUUGAAAUUACGUGGCAGCUGUCUUAGCAGUCAUUGGGAGAGCGAGCAAAAAAUACUGUUUAUUGGAGGCAAACUUUGAAUUAGAGCAAAAUAGGACCAGUACUUUUGAAAACAACUUAGUGUGAUAAAUCUUUCUUUGACUUUUCAUCGCUUUCAUUUAGCAAAACAACAUUCCUCUGGAGGUAAAUCAAAGCAGGGGUUUAGCCCCUGCUGUGGCAGUUAUUGAAUCCCAGUGGUGAAGGGAGCAGUGCGAGAGUUAUCCUCCAUUUACAUCCUCAUUAUGAUUUAUUCAGAGGCCAUUAGUGGGAUUUUCCUGGCAGGCAGGUGUUCUCUUGAAGAAAAAUACAUCAUGCCUCCUCGGUAGGAUGCAGAACUUGCCUGCAUGAGCACCCACCUGAAUUCUUAGGACAAUAUAAGCUCCUCAGGAGCCUGCAGGCAGAGGAGUGCGGGUGGACUUGGGGGGAUUCUAUUCCUGCAAUGACAAAAGGGGGCAAAAGCUUGAGCCAGUUAAAACAAUUCUUUGAUAAAACUGAAACACCAGUAAUCAUUAUGGAGUUUGAAAGCUUGCCAAUGUCACUAGAGGUGUGUGCCAAAAUUCCCCAAGUGCUUGCACAUGUAAAACUAUUUCUUCUGGAAGGUGAUGAGUUCAGGUAAAGCCAGUUAGUCUUGCACAUGAUCUAUCAUGCUGAAAGACAUUAGUAGUAAACUAGUAAACUAAGACAAAUUUUUGAUGUAAGUGCUUUAUUUCUCCCUCAUUAAAGAAAAUUUUCUUGGUGCUAGAGGAGGAAAAAUUAUGAUGAUACUUAUUUCAGUUGAGCUUUUCAGGUGGUUAGUCCAUGCCAUUGUUUCUUACUUGCAAUGCCAAGGUAUAGAAGUGGAACAACAGAUGAGACUUGUUCUGCUGUAGAUGGCAGAACAUAUGGGAGCUGUGUGCAGCAAGGAGUAGCUCUGAAAUCUGCAAGUGUGAAAAAUGUAUGCCAUCAGUGAAUUAUAUAGGGACACCCAGUUCUUCUGUCUGUCUGGAAGUGCAAGAGCAUGCAUAAAGGACUUUGCCACAGCUGUGGACCAUGUACCUGUCAUGAUUGAAUUCUCUUGUCCUAAUUAAAAAAAAACCAAA